GUCCCUGUAGCGCAAUGGAUAGCGCUUUGGACUUCUAUUUUAAAGGUCGUGGGUUUUGAUCCUAUCUGGGAUG